rnacentral:misc_RNA from 1 species
UUUCAGAGUACAAAAUGUGGACAGCUAUCAUAAUAUGAUUACAGAAUGCCCAUUGAGUAAUUCCCCAUUGAAAAAACAAUAUCAAAAGGAUAUUGUCAAUGGUUCAUUGCAUUGACAUUAGCAGAAUUUUGUAGAAAAGAUAAAAGAUAUGUCAGAUGAGGCACUUUAUCCUCUUCAAAGAAGUAGUUAGAGAGGAAGGAUGGAGGGGGAGAGAAUGGCAUAAGGAAUAAUCUUAUUAACUAUUACCAAAUAAACAAAGCAUAGUAUAUAUACAUAUAUAGAGCAUUUGGUUAGCUUCUAAAAAAAAAUUUGCUUUCUACUAAUUUGAAAGCAGAAAGAAGAAAAGCACUUUUUGUUUACAUGCAAUAAAAUUAACUGCUUCUUAGAGGAAGCAAAAAAGCAUUAGAGGCAAAAAUCACAAGAUAGUGGUGUGUUCCAGAAAAGUAGCACCAAGCAAAAAUCGUAUUAAUUGCUACUAGAGCCAUGAAAAUCAUCACCAAUUCAAACAUUAAUUGGGUAAAAAGUUGGAUUAUUUUUCCUUUGAUAAAAAAGUAAAAGAAACAUUUUUAAAAAACAUGUUUUUUUAUUAUUG